AUGGCGUUGGAGGUCGGCGACAUGGAAGAUGGGCACCUUUCACACUCGGAUUCCGACAUGACGGUAGCACCCAGCGACAGGCCGCUGCAAUUGGCGAAAGUGCUAGGUGGCCACAGUGCUAUGAGGGCCUUCCAGAACACAGCAACUCCAUGUAUCACAUUAUCGAGCUGUUGAAAGUGUGGAUUCAAGUGAAGAGAGUUUUUCUGAUUCAGAUGAUGAUAGCUGUCUUUGGAAACGCAAACGACAGAAAUGUUUUAACCCUCCUCCCAAACCAGAGCCUUUUCCGUUUGGCCAGAGCAGUCAGAAACCACCUGUUGCUGGAGGAAAGAAGAUUAACAACAUACGGGGUGCUGUGCUGCAGGAACAGAAUCAAGACGCAGUGGCCACUGAACUUGGUAUCUUGGGAAUGGAGGGCACUAUUGACAGAAGCAGACAAUCCGAGACCUGCGAUUAUUUGCUUGCUAAGAAACUUAGGAGGGAAUCUCAAAAACAUAUAAAAGGUCUAGACAAGGAACUAGAUGAAUAUAUGCACGGUGGCAAAAAAAAAUGGGAUCAAAGGAAGAGGAAAACGGGCAAAGUCAUCUCAAAAGGAAAUGACUUGUCAAAGACAGGCUGGGGAACAGACCAGAAAUGAACUAUAAAGGUCGAUAUGAGAUCACAGAGGAAGAUUCUCAAGAGAAAGUGGCUGAUGAAAUUUCAUUCAGGUUACAGGAACCAAAGAAAGACCUGAUAGCUCGAGUAGUGAGGAUUACUGGGAACAAAAAGGCAAUUGAACUUCUGAUGGAAAACUGCUGAAGAUGAACAAAAUGGUGGUCUCUUUAUAAUGAAUGGUAGUCGAAGAAGAACACCAGGGGGAGUUUUUCUGAAUCUCUUGAAAAACAUUCCUAGUAUCAGCGAGGAACAAAUUAAGGACAUUUUCUACAUUGAAAGCCAAAAGGAAUAUGAAAAUUAAAAAGCUGCUAGGAAAAGGAGAACACAAGUGUUGGGAAAAAAGAUCAAACAAGCUAUUAAAAGUCUAAAUUUUCAAGAAGAUGAUGACACAUCACAGGAAACUUUUGCAAGUGACACAAAUGAGGCCUUGGCCUCUCUUGAUGAGUCACAGGAAGGACAUGGAGAAGCCAAGUUGGAUUCAGAGGAAGCCAUUGAAGUUGAUCAUUCUCAAGAUUUGGACACUUUUUAAGUACAUUUUUGACAGUUUGAGGACUAAGCUUUUCUAAAAUAACAUUGUAAUAAACCAUUUUUACUGAGAUUGCACCGUUUUGCACUGGUAAACAUGAAUCUGGAGGAAAGAAAAUUGUUUUCUUGUUUAAAAUAGUGUAUGUGCAGAAAGGAAUGCAAUUGAUAGAACAUUUAAGGAUGUCUCAUGUCUGGCAAUACUUAAGAGUAUAUAGCACAGGAUUUAAUUUCUCAUUGUGUUGCAUGUGCUAAUUAUGAGUAUUACUAGUUGAUAAUCAGUUUUGUCUAGGUCAUAACAUACUAUUUGAAAGUUUGUUUGCUUUUUCAAGUUUAUCUUUGCAGUGAAUUAUGCCUUGGCUUUAAAACAUUCCAUUAAAAUCGUAAUGGGACAUAUAAAUUAUUAAGCUGUUA